GCUACAGAGUCACGAUGAUGAAAAAUGAUUUAUUUCAGGAAAAGAACAGCUCCAAAGAAUAAAUCUCUAAAUUGUUUUUGAUGGAAUAAAUAAGACUCGUUGGCUAGGAGAUGCCUCCAAAAGGCACUGAGAAUCAGUCUGGCAGAAGGGUUCAUCUACAGGAAAACAGAAGAAGUGCUACGCUGACAUUGUCUUUCAAGCCCAGUGUUACUAGCUAAUAUCUUAUUCAAUUAUCCUCCAAAGCACAAUAAAAAAGUUAAUUGCUUGACCUAAAGAAAAAAAAAAAAAGUACGCAGGAUCAUAGAAUAUGAAGCAAAAGUGACUAUAAAGCUGAAAACUGUUGUGCUGCCAGCCCUUAUCCAAGACUCCAGUGAUAGUUUCAGAAAUGAAGCAAUUCUCAGGGUGAUUUCUUCUACUUUUUUCUUCCC
ensembl:lncRNA